GUGCCAUCUAAACUAUCAUCUAAGCACACUGCCCCAGUUAGGGUGGGCAUUUGAGGGCAGGGGAUGCGGUGACUUCUCCAGCUUCCAAGAAGUCCAGAUGGUUUCCAAGUAACAAUGUCUAAAAUUGACUUGGAUUCGUUUUUCCUUCCCAAACACAUGUGCUUUAACAUGAGGGGGAAUUUAUGAAUAGCAGAGUCAGAUUUGCCCAGAUUUCUGGCAUGGCAUUACCAUAAAUAUAGCCUCACAUGGACUCCCUUUGGUAUGUUGGAUACUGAAGUAGUGCUUUCAUUGUAUUGAUUGUUUAGCAAAUGACCAGUCUUUGAUGUGUUGACUUUUGCAUCACCCUGCAGACUUGUAUCGAUCAUCACAUCAGACCAACCAAGUGAUCAGGAGGUCCCUGACUCUACAAAUAGGGCUCUGCUGCAGCCAAAAAGCAGAAGAAAGCACCCUUCAAGGGCUCUUUUCCCCCUCUGUGUUGGAAGAAGGCAGCUUCCUAUUUGUAGAAGCCUCUAUAGACUCCUCCACAGUGAGACUCCAACAAGGACCUGAGAGAGUAUGGUCUAAGAAGAGAAUGUGGCCAGUCCAUGGAGCUCUUAGGCUCGGUGGGUGAGCCUGCUGCCACUGCUGGUUGCACAGUUGAUGUGGGAAGUCUUGGGAUUUGCUUCUAGAUCUGCCAUCUUCAACAUCACUGAUGCUUCUGCAGUAGAAGGAAAAAUAUUUAACAUUUGAUGUUAAUGGAAUAAGUAAGUAAAUUUGUGCAUAUACACAGUUGUACUCAUUUUAGCGUUGUCUUAGCAUUAAAAAAGUGUCAGGGUGUAGAGAAAUAUUUAAGAUAAGGAAAC
rnacentral:lncRNA from 1 species